CCUACGGGUGGCUGCAGUGGGGAAUAUUGGACAAUGGGCGAAAGCCUGAUCCAGCCAUGCCGCGUGUGUGAAGAAGGCCUUCGGGUUGUAAAGCACUUUCAGUGGGGAAGAAAGCCUUGGGGCUAAUACCCUCGAGGAAGGACAUCACCCACAGAAGAAGCACCGGCUAACUCCGUGCCAGCAGCCGCGGUAAUACGGAGGGUGCGAGCGUUAAUCGGAAUUACUGGGCGUAAAGCGCGCGUAGGCGGUCUGAUAAGCCGGUUGUGAAAGCCCCGGGCUCAACCUGGGAACGGCAUCCGGGACUGUCAGGCUAGAGUGCAGGAGAGGAAGGUAGAAUUCCCGGUGUAGCGGUGAAAUGCGUAGAGAUCGGGAGGAAUACCAGUGGCGAAGGCGGCCUUCUGGACUGACACUGACGCUGAGGUGCGAAAGCGUGGGUAGCAAACAGGAUUAGAUACCCCGGUAGUC
rnacentral:rRNA from 1 species